rnacentral:rRNA from 1 species
GACGUAGGAUGCAAGCGUUGUCCGGAUUUAUUGGGCGUAAAGAGUUCGUAGGCGGUUCGUUAAGUCUGAUGUUAAAGACUGGGGCUCAACCCUGGGAGUGCAUUGGAUACUGGCGGACUCGAGUGCAGUAGAGGCAAGCGGAAUUCCAGGUGUAGCGGUGAAAUGCGUAGAUAUCUGGAAGAACACCGGUGGCGCAAGCGGCUUGCUGGGCUGUAACUGACGCCGAGGAACGAAAGCUAGGGUAGCGAAUGGG